GGAGUACUCCCUCCGUCCCAAAAUACUUAUCGUCAAAAUGGAUAGAAAAUAAUAUAUUUAAAAUUAAAAUACGUUUAGAUAUAUCUUUUUUCAUUUUCAUGACAAGUAUUUUCGGACGGAGGGAGUAUUAU
rfam:Triticum aestivum genome assembly, contig: Triticum_aestivum_CS42_TGACv1_scaffold_020508_1AS